GCUGGACAUGGUGGUGCAUGCCUGUGUCCUCAGCUACUCAGGAGGCUGAGGUGGGAGGAUAGCUUGAGCCCACAAGUUUGAGAUUGCCUGGGCAACAUAGCGAGAGCCUUU
rnacentral:sRNA from 1 species